GACGAACGCUGGCGGCGUGCUUAACACAUGCAAGUCGAACGGAAAGGCCCUGCUUUUGUGGGGUGCUCGAGUGGCGAACGGGUGAGUAACACGUGAGUAACCUGCCCUUGACUUUGGGAUAACUUCAGGAAACUGGGGCUAAUACCGGAUAGGAGCUCCUGCUGCAUGGUGGGGGUUGGAAAGUUUCGGCGGUUGGGGAUGGACUCGCGGCUUAUCAGCUUGUUGGUGGGGUAGUGGCUUACCAAGGCUUUGACGGGUAGCCGGCCUGAGAGGGUGACCGGCCACAUUGGGACUGAGAUACGGCCAAGACUCCUACGGGAGGCAGCAGUGGGGAAUAUUGCACAAUGAGCGGAAGCCUGAUGCAGCAACGCCGCGUGCGGGAUGACGGCCUUCGGGUUGUAAACCGCUUUCGCCUGUGACGAAGCGUGAGUGACGGUAAUGGGUAAAGGAGCACCGGCUAACUACGUG
rnacentral:rRNA from 1 species